rnacentral:rRNA from 1 species
GAGGGGCAGCAUGGUCUUAGCUUGCUAAGACUGAUGGCGACCGGCGCACGGGUGAGUAACACGUAUCCAACCUGCCGUCUACUCUUGGACAGCCUUCUGAAAGGAAGAUUAAUACAAGAUGGCAUCAUGAGUCCGCAUGUUCACAUGAUUAAAGGUAUUCCGGUAGACGAUGGGGAUGCGUUCCAUUAGAUAGUAGGCGGGGUAACGGCCCACCUAGUCUUCGAUGGAUAGGGGUUCUGGGAGGAAGGUCCCCCACAUUGGAACUGAGACACGGUCCAAACUCCUACGGGAGGCGGCAGUGAGGAAUAUUGGUCAAUGGGCGAGAGCCUGAACCAGCCAAGUAGCGUGAAGGAUGACUGCCCUAUGGGUUGUAAACUUCUUUUAUAAAGGAAUAAAGUCGGGUAUGCAUACCCGUUUGCAUGUACUUUAUGAAUAAGGAUCGGCUAACCCCGUGCCAGCAGCCGCGGUAAUACGGAGGAUCCGAGCGUUAUCCGGAUUUAUUGGGUUUAAAGGGAGCGUAGAUGGAUGUUUAAGUCAGUUGUGAAAGUUUGCGGCUCAACCGUAAAAUUGCAGUUGAUACUGGAUAUCUUGAGUGCAGUUGAGGCAGGCGGAAUUCGUGGUGUAGCGGUGAAAUGCUUAGAUAUCACGAAGAACUCCGAUUGCGAAGGCAGCCUGCUAAGCUGCAACUGACAUUGAGGCUCG